rnacentral:misc_RNA from 1 species
GAGGUCAGGUGCGUACGGCU